CACGUGGGUAACCUGCCCAAGAGAUCGGGAUAACACCUGGAAACAGAUGCUAAUACCGGAUAACAACAGAUGAUGCCUAUCAACUGUUUAAAAGAUGGUUCUGCUAUCACUCUUGGAUGGACCUGCGGUGCAUUAGCUAGUUGGUAGGGUAACGGCCUACCAAGGCGAUGAUGCAUAGCCGAGUUGAGGGACUGAUCGGCCACAUUGGGACUGAGACACGGCCCAAACUCCUACGGGAGGCAGCAGCC
rnacentral:rRNA from 1 species